GGAGGGCUUAACACAUGCAAGUCGAGCGGAUGAAAGUAGCUUGCUACUGGAUUCAGCGGCGGACGGGUGAGUAAUGCUUAGGAAUCUGCCUAUUAGUGGGGGACAACGUUCCGAAAGGAGCGCUAAUACCGCAUACGUCCUACGGGAGAAAGCAGGGGACCUUCGGGCCUUGCGCUAAUAGAUGAGCCUAAGUCGGAUUAGCUAGUUGGUAGGGUAAAGGCCUACCAAGGCGACGAUCUGUAGCGGGUCUGAGAGGAUGAUCCGCCACACUGGGACUGAGACACGGCCCAGACUCCUACGGGAGGCAGCAGUGGGGAAUAUUGGACAAUGGGGGGAACCCUGAUCCAGCCAUGCCGCGUGUGUGAAGAAGGCCUUUUGGUUGUAAAGCACUUUAAGCGAGGAGGAGGCUACCUAGAUUAAUACUUUAGGAUAGUGGACGUUACUCGCAGAAUAAGCACCGGCUAACUCUGUGCCAGCAGCCGCGGUAAUACAGAGGGUGCGAGCGUUAAUCGGAUUUACUGGGCGUAAAGCGUGCGUAGGCGGCCAAUUAAGUCAAAUGUGAAAUCCCCGAGCUUAACUUGGGAAUUGCAUUCGAUACUGGUUGGCUAGAGUAUGGGAGAGGAUGGUAGAAUUCCAGGUGUAGCGGUGAAAUGCGUAGAGAUCUGGAGGAAUACCGAUGGCGAAGGCAGCCAUCUGGCCUAAUACUGACGCUGAGGUACGAAAGCAUGGGGAGCAAACAGGAUUAGAUACCCUGGUAGUCCAUGCCGUAAACGAUGUCUACUAGCCGUUGGGGCCCUUGAGGCUUUAG
rnacentral:rRNA from 1 species